UAGCUUAAUUGUGUUAAUAAUUUCUUGUGCAUGUGAAAUAGCUCUAUUCACAAAGAGCGAAGAUGUUAAAGAUAGAGCACGAUGAUGAGAGCACGAGCACAAACUACAAUGGCGGUCUCAAGGUUAGCUCAAUAUUUUCCUCACACUGGUGUUGCAUUUGUGCCGAGCUCAACAGCUUAAUUAGAAAGCAUGGUACUGGUGAACCUGGAAGGUAUGCAAAGAAGAAGCGAAUGCUAUCAAUCCCAUCAACAAAACUUCAACCGAAGGAAGCACCCUUCUGGAGUGUUGUUGAGACGCAUCGAUGCUCUUGACACAACUCCUCAACGGGGCACUCAUACAGGUGCUAGCAACAGGAGCAACUGAACUAUAGAUCUAGCUCUAACCCUAUAGGUAUAGCUCUUGUCCCAAAUGCUAUUUACAUAUGUUUUGUAUGGCGCAUUUGUAAUGAUCUAGCUGCGGACCCACCAUUGAUGCCACCACCUGCUGAGCUGCUGCACCGUCCUGCAGAUAUGUACGUGUAGCAACACGCCUAAUGGGAUUCACUGUGAUACAUCUAGAGCAAUCUUGAGGUUCGUGACAUUGUCUGGAGCUUCAAACACACAGAAGGCACAAGUAGAGGAGAGGGAUUGGAAACACAGGGAUUUCACGCGUCCCAUGCAUGUCGCACCGGAAAUUCACAGGAAGUUAAUUUAAUGGGAGGAGAUUGGGGGAAAAGCUGCAGAUGCUGAUCAACUACUUAGCUACUGUAGUUGCUCCGAAUGACUUUCUCUUUGCAAAUAAUUCUCAACAGGCAUGCAUUUACAAUAAAAUUAAAUCUAGGAACUCAGCACAGUCUAAAGCCCCGUUUGCCUUUAUUCCGGGUUCAUAAAAGUAAUCCGUGUUCGUGUAAACGGCCUAAUCCGGGUUCUAAUCUGGAUUAGCGAAACCACAUCAGGAUGUGGUUUCGACCCGGAUACAAUCCGGGUUAGGCGCCGUGUAAACAGCUGCACUGGAUCAAAAGCUAGUUAGAAUUUUUGUGGUUCAAGUGAUAGUAUGUCAAUGGCUUCUGUUAUGAUACAAAAGUCCCGUGGCACUGCAUGGAGUGAUGUAGAGGUGAGAGCUCUCAUUGCUGUCUGGGGAGAGAGUGAUAUUCAAGAGGAAUUGGAUGGGGCCAAGGUUGUUUUCACUGAAAUAUCACAAAAAUUAAAAGAAGGACACACACGAGAAUGUAGAAAUAAGAUUAAAAGUUUGAAAAGGAUAUAUGUUUGAAAAGGAUAUAUAGAGAAAUUAAAGACAAUAACAAAGAAACAGGAAGGGUAGAAAGAGUUGCAAAUUCUACCACCAACUCGAUGCCAUCCUGGGUCAUCGGCCAGCAACAGUUCCACCCUCGCUGCUAGGCAGCCAGGAUGCAAUAAUUCUGACAAGUGGUAAACUCGUUUGUUUCCCAGAUGCAGAUGAACUUGAGGCUCACAAUGCCGUUGAUGGAGCCCCCUCUCUGCAGGUGACUUCAGAAUCAGACCCCCUGCAGAUGAAACAGAGGAAGACGAAGACGGAGAAGGCUUCAAAAGCGAACCAUGGACAAGUUUUUAAAGUACCAGGAGGCAAGAUUUGCGAAACACGGAGACGAAAGGUGGGAAAAAGAACAAGAAAUGGAGGAGAGGGAAUAUGAUAUGAGGAUGGUGGCAAACAUGUUUAGACCACCACCACCACCAUCGCCACCGGCCAAGGCAGGACUAUUAAUGACUAUUAUCCUGAUUAGCUGUAUCGAUAUUAGCUGUGGUAUUUACUUACUGUGUUAUUGUGUUAUUAUGUAUCUUAGACCACCACCAUCUUAGACCACCACCACCAUACUCAGGGCCAAGGACUAUAAUGACUAUUAUCCUGUAUCCUUAUUAGCUGUGGUAUUUACUUCCUGCUCAGGUAGGUUAAGGCCGUUUUUUCUUGAAAUUGAAGAAAAAGUGCACUAUAAAGAACUACCAUUUUUUGUAAAAAAUUUUGUCAAUUACACAUUAUUUUUCACAAAAUGUAUUGUGA